UCCAGACUCCUACGGGAGGCAGCAGUGAGGAAUAUUGGUCAAUGGGCUUACGCCUGAACCAGCCAAGUCGCGUGAGGGAAGACUGCCCUAUGGGUUGUAAACCUCUUUUGUCAGGGAGCAACGCCGGCUACGUGUAGCCGGACUGAGAGUACCUGAAGAAAAAGCAUCGGCUAACUCCGUGCCAGCAGCCGCGGUAAUACGUAGGGGGCAAGCGUUAUCCGGAUUUACUGGGUGUAAAGGGAGCGUAGACGGCGAUGCAAGACUGAGGUGAAAGGCGGGGGCCCAACCCCUGGACUGCGUUGGAAACUGUAUGGCUGGAGUGCAGGAGAGGUAAGUGGAAUUCCUAGUGUAGCGGUGAAAUGCGUAGAUAUUAGGAGGAACACCAGUGGCGAAGGCGGCUUACUGGACUGUAACUGACGUUGAGGCUCGAAAGCGUGGGGAGCAAACAGGAUUAGAUACCCCCGUAUA
rnacentral:rRNA from 1 species